GACGAACGCUGGCGGCGUGCUUAACACAUGCAAGUCGAACGCUGAAGCUCAGCUUUUGUUGGGUGGAUGAGUGGCGAACGGGUGAGUAACACGUGAGUAACCUGCCUCCUUCUUUGGGAUAACGCCCGGAAACGGGUGCUAAUACUGGAUAUUCACUGGUCUUCGCCUGGGGUUUGGUGGAAAGGGUUUUUCUGGUGGGGGAUGGGCUCGCGGCCUAUCAGCUUGUUGGUGGGGUGAUGGCCUACCAAGGCUUUGACGGGUAGACGGCCUGAGAGGGUGAACGGUCACAUUGGGACUGAGAUACGGCCCAGACUACUACGGGAGGCAGCAGUGGGGACGAUUGGCCAAUGGGUGAAAGCCUGAUGCAGCGACGCCGCGGGAGGGAUGGAGGCCUUCGGGUUGUGAACCUCUUUCGCUAAUGGUCAAGCCGCAACAAUGGUUGUGGUGAGGGUAGUGGGUAAAGAAGCGCCGGCUAACUACGUG
rnacentral:rRNA from 1 species